GGAGGAUUUAUCUGGACCUUUCUGAAGGCUCAACCCAAAGUGGAAAACUCAGCACUAUUUAACCGUCUGAUCACACUAACACUGUUUCUGGUUCAGCAGUCCCAACAGCCCCCGGUGGAGUUUCCCAUCGCAGCCCUCUCUCUUCCUGAGAUCUCCCUGUUGGCUCCCAUCUCCUCUGCUGGCAAGCGGACUGAGUAACCAGAUUCUGCACCUCUGGAAAUAUUCUCUUCUCUGUAAUAAAUCUUCAUCCAAUCCUCA